AAAGAUUAAGCCAUGCAUGUCUAAGUAUAAGCAAUCUAUACGGUGAAACUGCGAAUGGCUCAUUAAAUCAGUUAUCGUUUAUUUGAUAGUACCUAACCUACUUGGAUAACCGUGGUAAUUCUAGAGCUAAUACAUGCUAAAAACCUCGACUUCGGAAGGGGUGUAUUUAUUAGAUAAAAAACCAAUGCCCUUCGGGGCUCCUUGGUGAUUCAUAAUAACUCAACGAAUCGCAUGGCCUUGCGCCGGCGAUGGUUCAUUCAAAUUUCUGCCCUAUCAACUUUCGAUGGUAGGAUAGUGGCCUACCAUGGUGUUAACGGGUAACGGGGAAUUAGGGUUCUAUUCCGGAGAGGGAGCCUGAGAAACGGCUACCACAUCCAAGGAAGGCAGCAGGCGCGCAAAUUACCCAAUCCCGACACGGGGAGGUAGUGACAAUAAAUACCUGAUACAGGGCCUCUUUCGGGUCUUGUAAUUGGAAUGAGUACAAUUAAAUCCCUAACGAGAAAUCAGG
rnacentral:rRNA from 1 species